rnacentral:tRNA from 12 species
GCGGGUGUAGUUUAGUGGUAAAACCUCAGCCUUCCAAGCUGAUGAUGGGAGUUCGAUUCUCCCCACCCGCUCCA